CGCGGUUGAACGUUCUGAAAGAUUUCCCCCCACUUUUAUCGUUCGUUAUUUACUGGAGCUGCUGAUUUGCGGAAAGUUAGAUGUGAUUUAUUAGGGAAGAGUAUCAACAACGAGAAUUUCUCUUAUUGAUCGAUCGAUCGUCGAAUAGUUCUAAUCCAAAAAACAUUCCUCUUCCAACAAGAUGUUCCACUGCGCACUCUAUAACGAAAAGUUAUCUGUUAGUGAGUUGGAGAUGCGCAGGGCGGAAGACUCCGCUACCGAUUGGUUUGGAGAGGAGACUACAAAAGCGGAAGCCUUGUGGAGCGCCAUUUCUUUCCGGCGCAGGGAAUACGUGGAGUAUCUUCUCGACGAGGAGUCUAUCCACGAUUCCCUGGCCCCGCGAGGACGCGGCGCUGUCAUUUUAUUCAACCUGGUUUCGGGAGGAGGGGGGCUGGACGAGUUGAUAGUUUUAUUUUGUCGUAGAGUGCGGGAGGCGCAAAUCGACCUCAAUUUCAACGCUACGGCCGUUUAUCCCGCAUUUUUUUCUGCGUAUUCGAGAAAAAGUAUUCUCCUGCAGGCGAUUCUGUUUGGGGGUCCCGAGACCUUUAAAAUCCUACUGGACUACGGGACGGAUCCCGAAUCGUCUGUCCUAAUCGGCGGGUUGGAAUUUAUCCUCCUCCCCGACACGGAUUUUCAA